CAGGAUGAACGCUAGCGGGAGGCCGUAACACAUGCAAGUCGAACGGGAUUGGUAGCAAUACCAUGAGAGUGGCGCACGGGUGAGUAACGCGUAUGCAACCUACCUGUAACAGAGGGAUAGCCCAUAGAAAUGUGGAUUAAUACCUCAUAGUCCUGAGAAGUCGCAUGGCUUUUCAGGUAAAAACUCCGGUGGUUACAGAUGGGCAUGCGUGACAUUAGCUAGUUGGUAAGGUAACGGCUUACCAAGGCAACGAUGUCUAGGGGUUCUGAGAGGAUGAUCCCCCACACUGGUACUGAGACACGGACCAGACUCCUACGGGAGGCAGCAGUGAGGAAUAUUGGUCAAUGGGCGCAAGCCUGAACCAGCCAUCCCGCGUGCAGGAUGACGGCCCUAUGGGUUGUAAACUGCUUUUGUACAGGAAGAAAAAUCCCUACGUGUAGGGACCUGCCGGUACUGUACGAAUAAGCAUCGGCUAACUCCGUGCCAGCCGCAGC
rnacentral:rRNA from 1 species